CAACUCUGGUUUCCCUUCAAAAGCAAAAAUCUUUGCCUUUUACUAAAGUUUUCCCCGUGGGGGGAAAAAACCCAAUGAGUCUUACCCCCUUUUUUUUCUAAAAGGCCCACUUCGGUGGGUU